CAGCGUCACGAGUGGCAUCCAUUAUUAUUGGGUCUAAAGUGUCCGUAGCUGGAUUUGUAAGUCCCCUGUGAAAGCGUUAGGCUUAACCUAACGAAAUGUGGGGGAGACUGCAGAUCUUGAGACCGGGAGGGGCUGGAGGUAUUUCUGGGGUAGCGGUAAAAUGCGAUAAUCCCAGGAGGACUACCUGUGGCGAAGGCGUCCAGCCAGAACGGGUCUGACAGUGAGGGACGAAGGCUAGGGGAGCAAACCGGAUUAGAUACCCGAGUAGUCC
rnacentral:rRNA from 1 species